rnacentral:lncRNA from 1 species
UUUCAUUGUAGGAAGUAACUGUGGAUGUGGUAGAAACAGCAAGAGAACUUGAAUUAGAAGUGAACCCUGAAAAUGUGACUAGAUUGCUGCUAUCUCAUGAUCAAAUUUAAAUGGAUGAGGAGUUGCUUCAUAGGGAUGAACAAAGAAAGUGGUUUCUUGAGAUGAGAUCUACUCCUGGUGAAGAUGCUGCGAACAACGUUGAAAUGACAACAAAGGACUUAAACUAUGACAGAAACUUAGUUGAUAAAGCAGUGGUAGGGUUUGAAAGGACUGACUCCAAUUUUGAAAGAAGUUGUACUGUGGGUAAACAGCAUUGCAUGAUACAGAGAAAUUGUUCAUGGAAAGAAGAGUACAUGGAUGCAGCAAACUUCAUUGUUGUCUUAUUUUAAGAAAUUGCCACAGCCACUCCAUCCUUCAGCAACCACCACCCUGGUCUAUUAGAAACCAUCAAUAUCAAGGCAAGAUUCUCCACCAACAAAAAGCUUAUGACUCACUGAUGGCUCAGAUGAUCAUUAGCAUUUUUCAGCAAUAAAGUAUUUCUACAUUAAGAGGACCCAAGAAUAGAAAACACAUGGAAGUAGAUAAAUCUGUGCAAGUUAAUAAAUCUUUUGGCCUUGGGUUAUUCAAAAGGACUGUCUGUUGGAUGCCAACCAGC